AUGCGUCAGCAGGCCUGGAACU
rnacentral:misc_RNA from 1 species